CGAACGCUGGCGGCCUGCCUAACACAUGCAAGUCGAACGAGACCUUCGGGUCUAGUGGCGCACGGGUGCGUACCGCGUGGGAACCUGCCCUUAGGUUCGGAAUAACUCCCCGAAAGGGGUGCUAAUACCGGAUAAUGUCUUCGGACCAAAGAUUUAUCGCCUUUGGAUGGGCCCGCGUUGGAUUAGCUAGUUGGUAGGGUAAAAGCCUACCAAGGCGACGAUCCAUAGCUGGUCUGAGAGGAUGAUCAGCCACACUGGGACUGAGACACGGCCCAGACUCCUACGGGAGGCAGCAGUGGGGAAUAUUGGACAAUGGGCGAAAGCCUGAUCCAGCAAUGCCGCGUGAGUGAUGAAGGCCUUAGGGUUGUAAAGCUCUUUUACCCGGGAUGAUAAUGACAGUACCGGGAGAAUAAGCUCCGGCUAACUCCGUG
rnacentral:rRNA from 1 species